rnacentral:rRNA from 1 species
UACGAAGGGGGCUAGCGUUGCUCGGAAUCACUGGGCGUAAAGCGCAUGUAGGCGGAUUGCUAAGUCAGGGGUGAAAUCCUGGAGCUCAACUCCAGAACUGCCUUUGAUACUGGCGAUCUCGAGUCCGGGAGAGGUGAGUGGAACUGCGAGUGUAGAGGUGAAAUUCGUAGAUAUUCGCAAGAACACCAGUGGCGAAGGCGGCUCACUGGCCCGGUACUGACGCUGAGGUGCGAAAGCGUGGGGAGCAAACAGG